GCCGAAGUGGUGGAACUGGUAGACGCGCUGCGUUCAGGGCGCAGUGGGCAGAAGCCCGUGGGGGUUCGAGUCCCCCCUUCGGCA
rnacentral:tRNA from 1 species